UAAGCCGGGGAUUUCCAGCUGCGCCUGAUUAAUGCCGAGACACGUCGAAACUAUGGCGAGCAGGGAAUGACGCCACCCAGUGCGUCGGCGCCGCGGGCUUGUCUGAGCCGAGACGUCUCGAGUGUCGGGGCUACCUGUGUUCGAUUAGGGUUUGCAUGUCCCCUUGCCGUCAAAGAGUGAGAGGAGCAAAUAACACAAUGAGUUAGGGAGGGCGCUCAUUGUCCUGCCAUAGAGCUGCGUAAGUGGAGUCGUGA